rnacentral:rRNA from 1 species
CCUUUGACGUUAGCGGCGGACGGGUGAGUAACACGUGGGUAACCUACCUAUAAGACUGGGAUAACUUCGGGAAACCGGAGCUAAUACCGGAUAAUAUUUGAACCGCAUGGUUCGAUAGUGAAAGAUGGUUUUGCUAUCACUUAUAGAUGGACCCGCGCCGUAUUAGCUAGUUGGUAAGGUAACGGCUUACCAAGGCGACGAUACGUAGCCGACCUGAGAGGGUGAUCGGCCACACUGGAACUGAGACACGGUCCAGACUCCUACGGGAGGCAGCAGCG